rnacentral:rRNA from 1 species
GUCUAAGGCCAUAUCAUCCUGAAUGUACCCAAUCUCAUCUGGUCUCAGAAGCUAAGCUGGGUCAGGACUGGUUAGUACUUAGAUGGGAGAGAGAUUUUCAGAAAAGACUGCUCAGACACAGACA